UACAGAGGGUGCGAGCGUUGUUCGGAAUUAUUGGGCGUAAAGGGCGCGUAGGCGGUGCGGUAAGUCACCUGUGAAAUCCCCGAGCUCAACUCGGGAACUGCGUCCGAUACUGGCAGGCUUGAAUCCGGGAGAGGGAUGCGGAAUUCCAGGUGUAGCGGUGAAAUGCGUAGAUAUCUGGAGGAACACCGGUGGCGAAGGCGGCAUCCUGGACCGGCAUUGACGCUGAGGCGCGAAGGCCGGGGAGCAAAGCGGG
rnacentral:rRNA from 1 species